rnacentral:rRNA from 1 species
AAUCAACGCUGGCGGCGUGCCUCAGACAUGCAAGUCGAACGCGAAAGUUCCCUUCGGGGAGCGAGUAGAGUGGCGCACGGGUGAGUAACACGUAGGUAAUUUGCCUUUGGGUGGGGAAUAACUCAGGGAAACUUGAGCUAAUACCGCAUAAUGCAGCGGCUCGACAUCGAGACAGUUGUUAAAGCGGGGAUUGGAGCAAUCCGACCUCGCGCCUAAAGAGAAGCCUGCGGCAGAUUAGCUAGUUGGUAAGGUAAUGGCUUACCAAGGCGACGAUCUGACCGACCGUCG